rnacentral:rRNA from 1 species
CUUUCCUACGGGAGGCAGCAGUGAGGAAUAUUGGUCAAUGGGCGCGAGCCUGAACCAGCCUAGUCGCGUGAGGGAAGACGGUCCUAUGGAUUGUAAACCUCUUUUGUCGGGGAGCAAAAGACGCCACGUGUGGCGUUCCGAGAGUACCCGAAGAAAAAGCAUCGGCUAACUCCGUGCCAGCAGCCGCGGUAAUACGGAGGAUCCAAGCGUUAUCCGGAUUUAUUGGGUUUAAAGGGUGCGUAGGCGGAUUGAUAAGUUAGAGGUGAAAUGUCCGAGCUCAACUCGGGAACUGCCUCUAAUACUGU